UGAUCCUGGCUCAGAACGAACGCUGGCGGCAGGCCUAACACAUGCAAGUCGAGCGCACCCUUCGGGGCGAGCGGCGGACGGGUUAGUAACGCGGGGGAACAUACCCUUCUCUACGGAAUAGCCAUUGGAAACGAUGAGUAAUACCGUAUACGCCCUUCGGGGGAAAGAUUUAUCGGAGAAGGAUUGGCCCGCGUAAGAUUAGAUAGUUGGUGGGGUAACGGCCUACCAAGUCUACGAUCUAUAGCUGGUUUUAGAGGAUGAUCAGCAACACUGGGACUGAGACACGGCCCAGACUCCUACGGGAGGCAGCAGUGGGGAAUCUUGGACAAUGGGCGCAAGCCUGAUCCAGCCAUGCCGCGUGUGUGAAGAAGGCCCUAGGGUCGUAAAGCACUUUCGCCAGAGAUGAUAAUGACAGUAUCUGGUAAAGAAACCCCGGCUAACUCCGUGCCAGCAGCCGCGGUAAUACGGAGGGGGUUAGCGUUGUUCGGAAUUCCACGGCGUAAAGCGUACGUAGGCGGAUCGGAAAGUAUGAGGUGAAAGCCCGGGGCUCAACCCCGGAACUGCCUUUGAAACUAGAUAGCUAGAAUCUUGGAGAGGUCAGUGGAAUUCCGAGUGUAGAGGUGAAAUUCGUAGAUAUUCGGAAGAACACCAGUGGCGAAGGCGACUGACUGGACAAGUAUUGACGCUGAGGUACGAAAGCGUGGGGAGCAAACAGGAUUAGAUACCCUGGUAGUCCACGCCGUAAACGAUGAUAACUAGCUGUCCGGGCACUUGGUGCUUGGGUGGCGCAGCUAACGCAUUAAGUUAUCCGCCUGGGGAGUACGGUCGCAAGAUUAAAACUCAAAGGAAUUGACGGGGGCCUGCACAAGCGGUGGAGCAUGUGGUUUAAUUCGAAGCAACGCGCAGAACCUUACCAACCCUUGACAUCCUAGGACAACUCCAGAGAUGGAGCCAGCCUUCCUUCGGGACAUAGUGACAGGUGCUGCAUGGCUGUCGUCAGCUCGUGUCGUGAGAUGUUCGGUUAAGUCCGGCAACGAGCGCAACCCACAUCUUUAGUUGCCAGCAGGUUAAGCUGGGCACUCUAUAGAAACUGCCCGUGAUAAGCGGGAGGAAGGUGUGGAUGACGUCAAGUCCUCAUGGCCCUUACGGGUUGGGCUACACACGUGCUACAAUGGCAGUGACAAUGGGUUAAUCCCAAAAAACUGUCUCAGUUCGGAUUGGGGUCUGCAACUCGACCCCAUGAAGACGGAAUCGCUAGUAAUCGCGGAACAGCAUGCCGCGGUGAAUACGUUCCCGGGCCUAGUACACACCGCCCGUCACACCAUGGGAGUUGGGUCUACCCGAAGGCCGUGCGCUAACCUUCGGGGGGCAGGCGGCCACGGUAGGAUCAGCGACUGGGGUGAAGUCGUAACAAGGUAACC
rnacentral:rRNA from 1 species